AGUGAACGCUGGCGGUAGGCCUAACACAUGCAAGUCGAACGGCAGCACAGUAAGAGCUUGCUCUUACGGGUGGCGAGUGGCGGACGGGUGAGGAAUACAUCGGCAUCUACUUUUUCGUGGGGGAUAACGUAGGGAAACUUACGCUAAUACCGCAUACGACCUACGGGUGAAAGCAGGGGAUCUUCGGACCUUGCGCGAUUGAAUGAGACGAUGUCGGAUUAGCUAGUUGGCGGGGUAAAGGCCCACCAAGGCGACGAUCCGUAGCUGGUCUGAGAGGAUGAUCAGCCACACUGGAACUGAGACACGGUCCAGACUCCUACGGGAGGCAGCAGUGGGGAAUAUUGGACAAUGGGCGCAAGCCUGAUCCAGCCAUACCGCGUGGGUGAAGAAGGCCUUCGGGUUGUAAAGCCCUUUUGUUGGGAAAGAAAAGCAGCAGGUUAAUACCCCGCUGUUCUGACGGUACCCAAAGAAUAAGCACCGGCUAACUUCGUG
rnacentral:rRNA from 1 species